rnacentral:rRNA from 1 species
UACAGAGGUCUCAAGCGUUGUUCGGAUUCAUUGGGCGUAAAGGGCGCGUAGGCUGCGGGGCAAGUCGGGUGUGAAAUCUCAGAGCUCAACUCUGAAACUGCACUCGAUACUGCUUUGCCUGAGGACUGGAGAGGAGAUUGGAAUUCACGGUGUAGCAGUGAAAUGCGUAGAUAUCGUGAGGAAGACCAGUGGCGAAGGCGGAUCUCUGGACAGUUCCUGACGCUGAGGCGCGAAGGCCAGGGGAGCAAACGGG